rnacentral:rRNA from 1 species
GACGAACCGUCCAAACGUUAUUCGGAAUCACUGGGCUUACAGAGUUCGUAGGCGGUCUGGAAAGUUGGGUGUGAAAUCCCUCGGCUCAACCGAGGAACUGCGCUUGAAACUACCAGACUCGAGGGAGAUAGAGGAAAGCGGAACUGAUGGUGGAGCGGUGAAAAUGCGUUGAUAUCAUCAGGAACACCGGUGGCGAAGGCGGCUUCUGGGUCUUUACCUGGACGCUGAGGAACGAAAGCUAGGGGAGCGAAACGGG